rnacentral:tRNA from 1 species
GCAGAAGUGGUGGAAUUGGUAGACACGCAAGACUAAGGAUCUUGUGCCUAUUGCUGGUGUGGGGGUUCGAGUCCCCCCUUCUGCACCA